AUUGAACGCUGGCGGCAUGCUUUACACAUGCAAGUCGAACGGCAGCGCGGGGCAACCUGGCGGCGAGUGGCGAACGGGUGAGUAAUAUAUCGGAACGUACCCAGAAGUGGGGGAUAACGUAGCGAAAGUUACGCUAAUACCGCAUACAAUCUACGGAUGAAAGUAGGGGACCGCAAGGCCUUAUGCUUUUGGAGCGGCCGAUAUCUGAUUAGCUAGUUGGUGAGGUAAAGGCUCACCAAGGCGACGAUCAGUAGCUGGUCUGAGAGGACGACCAGCCACACUGGAACUGAGACACGGUCCUGACUCCUACGGGAGGCAGCAGUGGGGAAUUUUGGACAAUGGGCGCAAGCCUGAUCCAGCAAUGCCGCGUGAGUGAAGAAGGCCUUCGGGUUGUAAAGCUCUUUUGUCAGGGAAGAAACGGUAGAGGCUAAUAUCCUUUGCUAAUGACGGUACCUGAAGAAUAAGCACCGGCUAACUACGUG
rnacentral:rRNA from 1 species